rnacentral:rRNA from 1 species
UACGGAGGGGGCGAGCGUUGUUCGGAAUCACUGGGCGUAAAGGGCGUGUAGGCGGUCCGCUAAGUCUGAUGUGAAAGCCCUGGGCUCAACCUGGGAAUGGCAUUGGAAACUGGCGACCUAGAGUGCGGUAGAGGGUAGUGGAAUUCCCGGUGUAGCAGUGAAAUGCGUAGAGAUCGGGAGGAACAUCUGUGGCGAAGGCGACUGCCUGGACCAGCACUGACACUGAGGCACGAAAGCGUGGGGAGCAAACAGG